rnacentral:rRNA from 1 species
UACGAAGGGGGCUAGCGUUGUUCGGAAUUACUGGGCGUAAAGGGCUCGUAGGUGGCCAACUAAGUCAGACGUGAAAUCCCUCGGCUUAACCGGGGAACUGCGUCCGAUACUGGAUGGCUUGAGUUCGGGAGAGGGAUGCGGAAUUCCAGGUGUAGCGGUGAAAUGCGUAGAUAUCUGGAGGAAUACCGGUGGCGAAGGCGGCAUCCUGGACCGACAUUGACGCUGAACGACGAAAGCUAGGGGAGCAAACGGG